rnacentral:misc_RNA from 1 species
UUGAAUUUUAAUGAAGAGUUUGGUUGUAGCUGGCCCAUUCAUUUGGGCAUGUGCACACCUUCCUCUUUCACCCCACACACACCUGUGAACCUGUGAGACAGAGAUGGGGAAUUUACUUGCUGCUUUUUGGAAUACAAAGGCAAUAGGUUAUUGGACCCCCCCUCUGUCUACUCAAUUAAUAUAAACUCAAUUUAUUUUAAAACGAAUGUAAUGGAUGUAACACAUCUCAUAC